rnacentral:misc_RNA from 1 species
GAAAUGCGAUAAGUAGUGUGAAUUGCAGAAUUCAGUGAAUCAUCGAAUCUUUGAACGCACAUUGCGCCCCUUGGUAUUCCAUGGGGCAUGCCUGUUCGAGCGUCAUUUGUACCCCCAAGCUUUGCUUGGUGUUGGGCGUCUUGUCUCUUCCGUUCGUGAUUAGACUCGCCUUAAAGUAAUUGGCAGCCAGUGUUUUUGGUAGUAAGCGCAGCACAAUUUGCGUCUUGGUCCCUAAGCAGUGGCAUCCACAAAGCCUCUUUCUCACUUUUGACCUCGGAUCAGGUAGGGAUACCCGCUGAACUUAAGC